rnacentral:piRNA from 1 species
UGCCUUCGCAGCAGACCCUAUAGGUAGA